rfam:Dipodomys ordii contig_23279, whole genome shotgun sequence.
GGUGGCUCAGUGGUAGAGUACUUGCUUUCUAUGCAUGAGGUCCUGGGUUAGAUUCCUCGGCACCA